rnacentral:rRNA from 1 species
GAUGAACGCUGGCGGCGUGCUUAACGCAUGCAAGUCGAACGAUGAAGCCCAGCUUGCUGGGUGGAUUAGUGGCGAACGGGUGAGUAACACGUGAGUAACCUGCCCUUAACUCUGGGAUAAGCCUGGGAAACUGGGUCUAAUACCGGAUAGGAGCGUCCACCGCAUGGUGGGUGUUGGAAAGAUUUAUCGGUUUUGGAUGGACUCGCGGCCUAUCAGCUUGUUGGUGAGGUAAUGGCUCACCAAGGCGACGACGGGUAGCCGGCCUGAGAGGGUGACCGGCCACACUGGGACUGAGACACGGCCCAGACUCCUACGGGAGGCAGCAGUGGGGAAUAUUGCACAAUGGGCGCAAGCCUGAUGCAGCGACGCCGCGUGAGGGAUGACGGCCUUCGGGUUGUAAACCUCUUUCAGUAGGGAAGAAGCGAAAGUAACGGUACCUGCAGAAGAAGCACCGGCUAACUACGUG